rnacentral:rRNA from 1 species
UGGGGAAUUUUGGACAAUGGGCGAAAGCCUGAUCCAGCAAUGCCGCGUGUGUGAAGAAGGUCUUCGGGUUGUAAAGCACUUUUGUCCGGAAAGAAAUCCUUGGCUCUAAUACAGUCGGGGGAUGACGGUACCGGAAGAAUAAGCACUGGCUAACUACGUGCCAGCAGCCGCGGUAAUACGUAGGGUGCAAGCGUUAAUCGGAAUUACUGGGCGUAAAGCGUGCGCAGGCGGUUUGCUAAGACCGAUGUGAAAUCCCCGGGCUCAACCUGGGAACUGCAUUGGUGACUGGCAGGCUAGAGUAUGGCAGAGGGGGGUAGAAUUCCACGUGUAGCAGUGAAAUGCGUAGAGAUGUGGAGGAAUACCGAUGGCGAAGGCAGCCCCCUGGGCCAAUACUGACGCUCAUGCACGAAAGCGUGGGGAGCAAACAGGAUUAGAUACCCUGGUAGUCCACGCCCUAAACGAUGUCAACUAGUUGUUGGGGAUUCAUUUCCUUAGUAACGUAGCUAACGCGUGAAGUUGGACCGCCUGGGGAGUACGGUCGCAAGAUUAAAACUUAAA